rnacentral:rRNA from 1 species
GACGAACGCUGGCGGCGUGCUUAACACAUGCAAGUCGAACGGUGAACCUCUUCGGAGGGGAUCAGUGGCGAACGGGUGAGUAACACGUGGGCAACCUGCCCCCGGCUCUGGGAUAACUCCAAGAAAUUGGGGCUAAUACCGGAUGUUCACCGCUUCCCGCAUGGGUGGUGGUGGAAAGGGUUUCCGGCUGGGGAUGGGCCCGCGGCCUAUCCGCUUGUUGGUGGGGUAGUGGCCUACCAAGGCGACGACGGGUAGCCGGCCUGAGAGGGUGACCGGCCACACUGGGACUGAGACACGGCCCAGACUCCUACGGGAGGCAGCAGUGGGGAAUUUUGCGCAAUGGGCGGAAGCCUGACGCAGCGACGCCGCGUGGGGGAUGACGGCCUUCGGGUUGUAAACCUCUUUCAGCAGGGACGAAGCGCAAGUGACGGUACCUGCAGAAGAAGCACCGGCCAACUACGUG